AGCUUUGCGCAGUGGCAGUAUCGUAGCCAAUGAGGUUUAUCCGAGGCGCGAUUAUUGCUAAUUGAAACACUGUGUCACUCUUUCCCUUUCAUGUACAAUCAAGAAAAUGCUAAAAAAAAAAAAAAAAAAAAGUCUUCUUCAUGAAUAAUUGUCUGGAAAUCCAUGUAGGGA
rnacentral:snRNA from 1 species